rnacentral:tRNA from 1 species
CCCUGGUUAGCUCAGUUGGUAUAGCGCUCCACUGGAAAUGGAGAUGUGCCUGCUUCGAUACCUGGAUCAGAAA